UCGUAAGCUCUGUUGUUAGGGAGACAGUGCUGUUCGAAUAGGGCGGCACCUUGACGGUACCUAACCCAGAAAGCACGGCUAACUACGUGCCAGCAGCCGCGGUAAUACGUAGGUGGCAAGCGUUGUCCGGGAAUUAUUGGGCGUAAAGGGCUCGCAGGCGGUUUCUUAAGUCUGAUGUGAAAGCCCCCGGCUCAACCGGGGAGGGUCAUUGGAAACUGGGGAACUUGAGUGCAGAAGAGGAGAGUGGAAUUCCACGUGUAGCGGUGAAAUGCGUAGAGAUGUGGAGGAACACCAGUGGCGAAGGCGACUCUCUGGUCUGUAACUGACGCUGAGGAGCGAAAGCGUGGGGAGCGAACAGGAUUAGAUACCCUGGUAGUCCACGCCGUAAACGAUGAGUGCUAAGUGUUAGGGGGUUUCCGCCCCUUAGUGCUGCAGCUAACGCAUUAAGCACUCCGCCUGGGGAGUACGGUCGCAAGACUGAAACUCAAAGGAAUUGACGGGGGCCCGCACAAGCGGUGGAGCAUGUGGUUUAAUUCGAAGCAACGCGAAGAACCUUACCAGGUCUUGACAUCCUCUGACAAUCCUAGAGAUAGGACGUCCCCUUCGGGGGCAGAGUGACAGGUGGUGCAUGGUUGUCGUCAGCUCGUGUCGUGAGAUGUUGGGUUAAGUCCCGCAACGAGCGCAACCCUUGAUCUUAGUUGCCAGCAUUCAGUUGGGCACUCUAAGGUGACUGCCGGUGACAAACCGGAGGAAGGUGGGGAUGACGUCAAAUCAUCAUGCCCCUUAUGACCUGGGCUACACACGUGCUACAAUGGGC
rnacentral:rRNA from 1 species